rnacentral:rRNA from 1 species
CCUACGGGAGGCAGCAGUGGGGAAUAUUGCGCAAUGGACGAAAGUCUGACGCAGCGACGCCGCGUGAGGGAUGAAGGUUUUCGGGUUGUAAAGUUCUGUCGCAGGGGACGAAAAUGACGGUACCCUGCAAGAAAGCUCCGGCUAACUACGUGCCAGCAGCCGCGGUAAUACGUAGGGAGCAAGCGUUGUCCGGAAUUACUGGGUGUAAAGGGAGCGUAGGCGGGAGGAUAAGUUGAAUGUGAAAUCUAUGGGCUCAACCCAUAGCUGCGUUCAAAACUGUUCUUCUUGAGUGAAGUAGAGGCAGGCGGAAUUCCUAGUGUAGCGGUGAAAUGCGUAGAUAUUAGGAGGAACACCAGUGGCGAAGGCGGCCUGCUGGGCUUUUACUGACGCUGAGGCUCGAAAGCGUGGGUAGCAAACAGGAUUAGAUACCCGAGUAGUC